rnacentral:rRNA from 1 species
UACGUAGGGGGCAAGCGUUGUCCGGAUUUAUUGGGCGUAAAGAGCGUGUAGGCGGCCAGAUAGGUCCGUUGUGAAAACUCGAGGCUCAACCUCGAGACGCCGAUGGAAACCAUUUGGCUAGAGUCCGGAAGAGGAGAGUGGAAUUCCUGGUGUAGCGGUGAAAUGCGCAGAUAUCAGGAAGAACACCCGUGGCGAAGGCGGCUCUCUGGGCCGAUACUGACGCUGAGGAGCAAAAGCGUGGGGAGCGAACAGG